GACGACCGCUGGCGGCGUGCCUAAUACAUGCAAGUCGAACGCAGUGGGGACGGGUGAGUAACACGUGGGUAACCUCCCAUCAGAGGGGAUAACCCUUGGAAACAGGUGCUAAACCGCUACUGAUGGUUGGACCCGCGGUGCAUUAACUAGUUGGUGAGGUAACGGCUCACCAAGGCCACGAUGCAUAGGCGACCUGAAAGUGGGGUCGCGCACACGGGGACGGAGACACGGCCCAGACUCCUACGGGAGGCAGCAGUAGGUAAGCUUCGGCAAUGGACCAAAGUCUGACCGAGCGACGCCGCGUGAGGUAAGAAGGUUUUCGAAUCGUAAAACUUGGUGGUUGGAGAAGCGGGAUCUAACCAGAACGCCACGGCUAAAUACGUGCCAGCAGACGCGGUAAUAC
rnacentral:rRNA from 1 species